AGCCAGAGAAAGUGGCCUUUGACAUCCAGUUACUACUGGCCUUUGAUGUAAACAGAUUCCUUCUAGAGGCAGGUCUUCAGGACACAAGCAGGAGUCACUGUGGUGAUGCCAGUUCCUCUUGUGUUUCAGCCACCACUGGAGUAGCUCCUGGCACAACUGUUGCCCCUGGCAGUUCCAAGACAGGUAAGUCAACAGGUUGACAUGGAAUCUUCCACGUGCCCUUCCAUAAUUAGAUAUCUCCUUUGUAUUAUUUUUUGCAGGAGUAGCACCAUAUCUUCUCCACAAUCCUUAAAUAUUCUCCAGGUAACUCUUAUCUCUUUGUUUCCCUUAGAGGCCACCACUUUCCUAGGAGUAAGUGGAACAACAAGCAUUGGAAGAGCCACGGGUGCCGCAACUUCCAUAGUAGGGAGUGACACCAGCCAAGCAGAACGUCCAGGAGGUACAACUGUGGUUUCACCUGGAGCCAGCAGCAGUUCACAGAGCUCCAGGCCAGGUAGGAAGGACUAAAUACAGUCCUCAUAUGCCAGGAUUAGAGUUAACAAGUUCUAUUUUCAAAUUCUCAGUAUCAAAAUGCCUGAGGUAAUUGAUGAGUAAAAUUCAGAAAGAUGAAUCUGUCAUCUGCUUUUUUUCUCCUGAAGGCACCUCUGUCACACCAGAGAGUUCAGCAUCUGAAAGUGAAACAGGUGAGGAGGAGAUAAAGUUACCAUCCACAUUCAGUGUGCUCUAUGGAAAGGGAACCCCAGGAGCAACAGGCCAGGACAUGAAGUGGUAGUCACUUAUAGUUCAUUUCCUUACAAAACAGAGGCUUUCAGGAAUGUUCUUCCAGUGGAUUAAAGCCACAUAGCUAUUUCCACAACUGAUUUAGGAGGUAAUGCCAUGUUGAUACCUUUCUUUUUCCACUUUUAGUUACUACAAAAGAAUUAUCUGGGACAACUGCUAUAUCUAAAACUUCCCACACCAGUAGGUUAAUAAGCAGGAAAUCUCCAUGUUUAACCACAUAAUAUAGUUAUUAGCGCUGCUUUGAUGAAAUACCAACCUCAUUGUUUUCUCAAUAUCCCAAAUUCUGAUCUCACCAUUCACCACUUCCUCUCUCAGAGGCUGCAACUUUUAACAGAAGGCCGCAGUGUUCCUCCAUCUGGAUCCAGCCCCAGUGAGAAUGAGCAGAGCACAGCUUAGGGUUUAGCAUAAAUUAUGACUCUCCCUAGGCUCGCCUGUUGGGAGUGUGUUUUCCUAGGUAGUGGUUUGCAUUUACUUUCAGUGUUUUCUUACACUGAACACAUUCUGGAAAACACUUAAAACCAACAUCUAGCCCCACAGCUGUAACUUUCUAAAGAGGGGCUGGUGGUACAGUCAGCAUAACAGAUUUCUCCUGCAAAAUCAUGUAUACCACUGUGGUGUAGAGGGAGCUGACAAAUAUUGUAUUUCUGGAAAGAAAACAAUAUAAAUUCUUGAAGCAAGCAUAUCCUAUAUAAAAGUUUUCUUACUCAAAAAAGCAAUAAUGAUAUGAAAUAUUUUCCAGUGUUCUUGGCACAUGAAAACAUUGUUCUGGUUUUCAUCCCAUGGCAGGCACCCCUGCAGCCUCAGGAGGCCAAGCAACUGGGAGCCUGACAGGUGAAGGGGAGGGAAAGCCACCCUGUUUCCUUGUCUGGGAGUGAAUGUGUGAAAGUGGAGGGGCCUCAAUUUGGGCACAUUACUAUUUCCAUUGCUCUUUUAAUGCUAUGGGUCAUAGCAAAGGCAUAUGAUUCUCAGUUAAUCAGGAAGCAGUGAAAGGGCCCUUUGAUAUAACAAAGAUACACCCAGAUUCCUUCUGGAGGCAGGUCUUCAGAAGACAAACACAAGUCACUGUGAUGAUCACAGACCCUUUGUGUUUCAGCCACCACUGGGGUAGCUCCUGGCACAACUGUUGCACCUGGCAAUUCCAACACAGGUGAGUCCCUGAGGUGGCAGAUUCCUCCAGGAGUCCAUCUAUGACAAAUUCUCCUCCAGUGUUAUCCUGGGUAGGAGAACCACCGUAAGUUUUCCAUGGUCUUGCAAUAUUGUUCAUCACUCCUGUCCUGUUUUCCUCUUUCUCAGAGGCCACAACUUCUGUAGGAGAAAGAGAAACAACAAAAGCUGAAAUAAUCACAGGUGAGCUCUGUUAAGAUAUUAACUAUUCCUAAAACCUUCCCAAGAGUCUGGCCUGAAAUAUGU
ensembl:lincRNA